AUGUAUUCUAUUUAAAAGCUCAUUCAAUCUCUGGUGAAUUGCAAAGGUACCUUUGUUGAAAACCAAGUGAUUUUACAGAAACACACACAUAUUUCUAGAUACCUUUUUCUGUUUUAUGGUUGAUUUCUCCUUUCUAUGUCGAAUGCUGUUACCUUCAUUGUUCUCAUCAAUAAGGUGAAAUUAAUUUUUGUAGCAGCCGACUGAAAACCUUAUUCAUUGGCCAAGAACUGGAGAAAGGGGAGCUCAUUCUCUGAAGGCACUUUUUCCCAGAUUACAAGUGGGGGCCAAGCUUUUUAUAGGCAAGGGUUUAGGAGGUUAUACGGAGUGAGGGUGUAUUGUCAUCCUGAUUCAUUGAAAUGGGUGACAGUUUCCCAAAGUGCAGUUCACACCUGUCUUCUGCCCUUGUAUGGUCCUUCAGCAUCUGAGUCGGAAGUGGGUUUGACACCCGUGGUGUAGGCAGUGGAGAUCUUAUUACAAUGAGAUGGUAAUAAGCUGUAGAACAACUCUUGUUCCAGUUUUAAACUUCAGCCUGUUUGUGCCAGUUUCUUGUGGUUAAGGCCUCUUGUUCCUGUCAUAUAAACACAGAAGAUACAGUCAGUUUUGAUUCUCCAGGUUUGCCUGGAGGGAGGUUUUUAUUAGAAUGAGGGGCUGGGGUGCGUGCACUUCAGCAAGGGCACCUUGCUGAAAACAGGUGCACUUGUGCCAUGCAGAGUUUAGGUACAGAGUAAGACAGUGCCACACUUUGCGAAUUACUGUGGCUUUAAAGUAAGUCCUGAAGCCUGGAAAUGUAAGACUUUUAAAUUUGUUGCUCUCCAAAGCCUAUUCUAGGUUUUAUGCAUUUCCAUAUAAAGUUGAAAAUCUUUUGUCAGUUUAUACACACACACACACACACAACUUGCUGGGAUUGAUUCGAUGGUGGUGAAUCUACAAAUUAGUUUGUGGAGAAGAAUAUUUAGUAAUUUAGGAAGAAGAUGCAAUUUAAAAUAUUGCAUCUUUCAAUCUUUAAAUAUGGUUUAUCUCUGCAUUAUAAGGUUGUCUUUAAUUUCUCUCAAUCAUAUUUGACAGUUUUAAUUACAGAGCUUGCACAUAUUUUAAUUAGAUUUAUUCCUAGACAAUAGACUUUUUGCUGCUAUUGUAAAAGAUAUUGUUUUAAAAGUAUAAUUGUUCAGUUGUUUUCUUAUGCUUUUAGUUUCAUUCUUUGGGCACCUUGUAAUAUAAUGCUACUCUGAGAAGAGUUUAUCUUUUCUAAUCUUUGCUAGCUUCAGUUCACUUUUGUCUCACAGUCUCACUGUUUCUUUGUUUAUUUUUACUCUGGAUUUUUAAAUUUUGGAGUUUAAAUGCUCUUACAUAUCUUCAAAUUUUUCUUUCAUUGUUUUGAAUUCAUAUCGGUGCAUUUGGGUACAGUUUUCUUUACAUUGAUUGUUGUUUCAUGGACUUCCAUUAGCUAAAUAUUUUCAUUCUUAAAUCCUGUUUGAUUCUUGCAGUCACUUUGAUGUAGCUUGCCAAAUUCUGUUCAUUGUUAAAUGUCUUAGAUUGUCCUUGCUUAGCUUUGGUGUUGCUGUGAAGAAGGUGUAUGAGGUGUUUUGGUUCUUUCUGUGUUAUCUAUGUAUGUUUCAAGUGUAUUUUUCUGUCAGUUCAGUGACAUAUAGUUUCAUUAAUGGAUGAUGUCCUUUGGGGAGGCAAGAGAUGGGUUUGUCAUGACUUAUGAUUUUGUGAUAUCCUCAUUUUAGUAGAAAAAGGUCCAUAAUCUUGGAUUUGACCAAUGAUCUCAGCAUAUGUUUUUCCUGUACAUGGAUAUGCUUCUUUACUGACUGCCACACACACUAAUUGCAAAGUUAGAUGUCAGGGAAUGUUUAACAGGAGGAUUCCUACAUGCUGUUUCUCAUAAAUCCUCUGUUCCUUGUCAGUUUCUGGCAACAGAAACGAGUGGAACGGCAUGCCACUCCCAGGACUGAGGUCAUAGGAUGAGACAGGCUUGAAUCUCCUUCAGUGAAUAUUCUCCUUAUGACAAAACUGCUUAGUCUCGAUCUUCUUUCUUGAGAUAUGGAUUGUCUCCUGACCUUGUGACCACUAUUAUCCCUUAUUCCCUUGGUAAUGGUUGCUGUACAUUUGGCUUUCUGAUCUUUAUCAUUGUUGAAAGAAAUUUCUUGUACAACAAACUAUAUAUACUCACAGAAAGAUCAUUAAAGCACCCUUCCUCCACCAGAGGCUUGGGUCCCUAUGUCUUUCUUUCUCUCUCUCUCUCCCUCUCUGGCUAAUUCUCUGGAGCAUAAAAACCCACUGAGCUCAUUCUCCUGCCCAGGCUUCCAAGACCCUCUCGAGAGGGCGCCCUGUGCCUUCGUGAGUGGUGCAAGCCCUGUUCAAGGGUUUUAUUGGUUCUCUGCAUAAACCAGGGAAUAUUAGCUUCUUUCUCUCUUUCACUUUCUUAUCAUCGACUCCAGACUGCCAGGUUCUGGUUCAUUAAAGGACCGCAACAGUUAGAUAAUGUUAAAUUUAGGAAUAACAUUUUUCCCAGUUUAGAACUUAAAACAUUACAAGAAUCUAUUCUAAUUUCUUUUCAGGCUUUAUUGUGAAUCUCUGCUGCUGCUGCUGCUAAGUCACUUCACUCGUGUCUGACUCUGCACGACCCCAUAGACAGCAGCCCACCAGGCUCCCCCGUCCCUGGGAUUCUCCAGGCAAGAACACUGGAGGGAGGCUUUUGUCAAUUUUGUAGCCCAAGUACCCUUCAAGUGGAGUCAGAACUAGCUCCAGGGGACUGUUCUAACAAUAUAUGUACCAUCUGCGAGUUAAAGCAUCAUCACUGUUUUGAAAUAUUUGAUAUGAAAAAAUUUCAUUGCAUUCAAACCCCACUUAAAAGUCACAUGAAAAAACCACCAUUACAUCUGUUAAUGGAAGUUAAGGAAGAGUUGUUUUUAAAAUGUAAUUUCCACAGUUUUAAAUAUUUAGAUGAUUGUAAAAAAGUGGCCUUAAAUUUUUUAUCAUCUACUUUUGUGAAUUAUUUCUCAUCGAUGAUGUCUAUAAACAAUUUGAAGAGCUCAUCAUUAAGAAGUCUUGUCAGGAAUCAGCCAUUUCAAGAACAAGACCUGAAAUAAAAAUUUUAUUGACAAAUUUUGUCUUUAACAAAUUUCAACUUUCUUUUCAAAUUUUUGAAUUAUUUUAUUCAUACAUUUUAUCAAAUCUGAUGAUUAGUAUUUCCCCUAAUGUGAUUUUAUUUAUCUUUUAUAUUUUAAAAAUCUAACAGUUUUUUAACCAAACCCUCUAAAGAAUCUCCAAAAUAACUCAGUUUUCUUUAGUGUGCCAUACAAAUAUUAUCACUUAGUCUGAGUACCAAGAUGGGCACAACCACCCCUCUACACACACAAAAAAGGACGAAAACAUGAUCUAAGUCUCUGAGAAUAAUUGGGACAAUUAUCUUGAAUUUUUUUUUUCAUUCCCUUGAGAAUUGCGUUUAGGUCUUAUGAUUUAAUUCUUUAUACUUGGUUUAUAUCAGAGAUCAGAAAAUUGCUGCAUUUUAGUGUUUUAGAUAUUGUUUAUUAAGUUACCCAGAUGCAUGUGAUAGGAAUCUUUUUGAAUAUCUUUCUCCUCAUGGACCAGCAUGAUCUGAUAUACUCAUGUUUUAUCAUCGCUUGAGACUGUGCAACCUACUGGAUUUCCUUUCUACAUGGCUUCCAGGGCAGGAAUUCUCGACUGCAGCAACAAUUACUGUUAAGACAUAACAGAACUAUUGCAGUGUGAUAUUAAAAUAGAAUAAAUUAUGCAAACAGGCAAGAGUUACAAUCCCCUUUCAUUGCAAAGAGCCUGAUGUUAUCUGAAGAUAAACAGCUUAACCACCCAGUUUUUUUUGCAAUUUUUUUACUGUAGUAUUAAUCACCAAAAUUGAUCUAGAUAACAGAUUUUCUUUCCUGUUUUUUCUCCCAACAUUUAAAAUAAUAUCUUUGCUGAUGUGUACACAUCAUUCUUGCCUGAUAGAAAUCUCAAUAGGAAUACACACGACUCCUCAAUGUAUGUAAAAGUCAGGCAACUUAGGAUCUGUGCAACUCAACUGCUACUGAUGAUCUAUGAAGCCUGAAAUGAUCUGAAAUAUUGUGAUCUCCUUUAGCAUUGUUUCUUCUCUGAGAAGGAAUACGAUCAAGCCCUGGGAAGUAAAGACAUCAAAAGUUGUGUCUCU